UUCAGACGAUGCGUCAUGCAUAUCAAUAAGCGGAGGAAAAGAAACUAACAAGGAUUCCCCUAGUAACGGCGAGUGAAGCGGGAAGAGCUCAAAUUUGAAAUCUUAAAGGGUUUCCCUUUACGAAUUGUAGUUUAAAGAAGUGUUUUCUGUUGAGGUUUUGGUAAAAGUUCUUUGGAAUAGGACAUCAUAGAGGGUGAGAAUCCCGUAUUUGACCUUUACUUUCAACUUUGUGAUACACUUUCAAAGAGUCGGAUUGUUUGGGAAUGCAGUCCAAAAUGGGUGGUAAAUUUCAUCUAAAGCUAAAUAUUGGCGAGAGACCGAUAGCGAACAAGUACCGUGAGGGAAAGAUGAAAAGAACUUUGAAAAGAGAGUUAAACAGUACGUGAAAUUGUCAAAAGGGAAGCGUUUGACACCAGUGUUGUUUUUCUGAAAAUCAAUUAAAGAACUGUUUAUGCUAAGCUGUUUAGACUUUAUCAGCUAUCUGUUUAGUUUUGAGCUUUUCUUUAAUGCACUUUUCAGUUAACAAGUCAACAUCAAUUUCUUUUGCUGUAAAAAAGCUUGAGGAAGGUGGCUUGAGAUUCGUCUUAAGUGUUUAUAGCCUCUUGCCUAUGCAGUCGGAGAGAUUGAGGUCUGCAGCGUAGAUCCUUCGGGGCUAAAUGCAUUUGUGCUAAGUUAUAGCAUUUUAUAGACAACUUGUUGACUAUGAUUUGUCUUGUAGCUUACUCGCUUAUGUUAUUUUACCUACGCUUAGGAUGUUGACGAUCAGCUGAGCGCG
rnacentral:rRNA from 1 species